UGGGGAAUAUUGGGCAAUGGGCGCAAGCCUGACCCAGCCACGCCGCGUGAGCGAUGAAGGCCUUCGGGUUGUAAAGCUCUGUGGGGAGGGGCGAAAGGCAGAAGUGCUAAUAGUACUCUGUUUGACGGUACCUCCUUAGCAAGCACCGGCUAACUCUGUGCCAGCAGCCGCGGUAAGACAGAGGGUGCAAACGUUGCUCGGAAUUACUGGGCGUAAAGCGCGUGUAGGCGGGAAGAUAAGUCGGGUGUGA
rnacentral:rRNA from 1 species